GAUGAACGCUGGCGGCGUGCCUAACACAUGCAAGUCGAGCGGCAGCGAGGGGUGCUUGCACCCUGUCGGCGAGCGGCGGACGGCUGAGUAACGCGUGGGAACGUGCCCCAAAGUGAGGAAUAACUGCCCGAAAGGGUAGCUAAUACCGCAUAUUAUCUUCGGAUCAAAGGAUUUAUCCGCUUUGGGAGCGGCUCGCGUCGGAUUAGGUAGUUGGUGAGGUAAUGGCUCACCAAGCCGACGAUCCGUAGCUGGUCUGAGAGGAUGACCAGCCAGACUGGAACUGAGACACGGUCCAGACUCCUACGGGAGGCAGCAGUGACGAAUCUUCCACAAUGGGCGAAAGCCUGAUGGAGCAACGCCGCGUGCAGGACGAAGGCCUUCGGGUUGUAAACUGCUUUUAUAAGUGAGGAAUAUGACGGUAACUUAUGAAUAAGGAUCGGCUAACUACGUG
rnacentral:rRNA from 1 species